rnacentral:rRNA from 1 species
UACGUAGGUGGCAAGCGUUGUCCGGAAUUAUUGGGCGUAAAGCGCGCGCAGGCGGUCCUUUAAGUCUGAUGUGAAAGCCCCGGGCUUAACCUGGGAAUGGCGGUUGAAACUAGUCGACUAGAAUCUGGCAGAGGGGGGUGGAAUUCCACGUGUAGCAGUGAAAUGCGUAGAGAUGUGGAGGAACACCGAUGGCGAAGGCAGCCCCCUGGGCUGAGAUUGACGCUCAGGCACGAAAGCGUGGGGAGCAAACAGG